rnacentral:sRNA from 1 species
UCACGCCCAGCUAAUUUUUUGUAUUUUCAGUAGAGACGGGAUUUCACCACAUUGGCCAGGCUGGUCUCGAACUCCUGACCUCAGGUGAUCCACCCACCUUGGCGUCCAGAGUGCUGGGAUUAUAGGUGUGAGCCAGCACACCUGGCCGGUUGUUUAUAUUUAAGUGUCUUUUUUUCACUAAUGAGGACCACCUUGUAAAUUCUGGGCAUUUUCAGAGUUUUCUCUUCCAUGCGAAUUGCUCCAGCUAACUUAAUAUUAGUUUCUCAGGGGUUUCUGUAGACCUGGCUUUGUCUCUUUCCAUCUGUUUCUCUCUUUCCCUUUAACGUCACUUGCCUGAGGUAUAUAAGGCCCUUUAAGGUUGCCAGCCCAGAGCUAGAAGAGAUUGGUGUCCCUGAAGUUAAGAAAGCCACCUUUGCCUACGGAUGGUGUUCACAGUGUUGGUGUGGAGUCACAGCUUGACUUUUGAUCAAGCACUGCGCCUAGCAGAAAUUUUACUACCUCUCCAAAAUCAUCAGCAAGUCCCUAUUCCUCAGUGUCUGCCUCUCUCAUUGCAAAUGGUGAUAGCACUAGCACCUGUGGGAUGCACAGUUCCGGUGUCAGCAGGGGUGGAUCUGGCUUUUCUGCUUCGUAUAAUUGUCAGGAGCCACCAUCCUCUCAUAUACAACCUGGGCUCUGUGGACUUGGAAACCUGGGAAACACCUGCUUCAUGAACUCUGCUUUACAGUGCUUGAGCAACACUGCACCACUGACUGACUACUUUCUCAAAGAUGAGUAUGAAGCCGAAAUCAACAGAGACAACCCUCUGGGGAUGAAAGGGGAAAUUGCAGAAGCCUAUGCCGAACUCAUUAAGCAGAUGUGGUCUGGAAGGGACGCCCAUGUGGCACCUCGCAUGUUCAAAACUCAAGUGGGACGUUUUGCUCCUCAAUUUUCUGGCUACCAGCAACAAGAUUCUCAGGAGCUGCUGGCCUUUCUUCUAGAUGGAUUGCAUGAAGAUCUGAACCGAGUAAAGAAAAAGCCCUACUUGGAGCUGAAGGAUGCCAAUGGGCGGCCAGACGUGGUGGUGGCAAAGGAAGCCUGGGAGAAUCACAGGUUGAGGAAUGAUUCUGUGAUUGUGGAUACUUUCCAUGGCCUCUUCAAAUCUACUUUGGUUUGCC